rnacentral:rRNA from 1 species
UACAGAGGGGGCAAGCGUUGUUCGGAAUUACUGGGCGUAAAGGGCGCGUAGGCGGCCCGCUAAGUCGAACGUGAAAUCCCCGAGCUCAACUCGGGAACUGCGUCCGAUACUGGCGGGCUUGAAUCCGGGAGAGGGAUGCGGAAUUCCAGGUGUAGCGGUGAAGUGCGCAGAUAUCAGGAAGAACACCCGUGGCGAAAGCGGCUCUCUGGAACGGUACUGACGCUGAGACGCGAAAGCGUGGGGAGCGAACAGG